UACGAAGGGGGCUAGCGUUGCUCGGAAUCACUGGGCGUAAAGCGCACGUAGGCGGAUCGUUAAGUCAGGGGUGAAAUCCUGGAGCUCAACUCCAGAACUGCCUUCGAUACUGGCGAUCUUGGAGUCCGGGAGAGGUGAGUGGAACUCCGAGUGUAGAGGUGAAAUUCGUAGAUAUUCGGAAGAACACCAGUGGCGAAGGCGGCUCACUGGCCCGGUACUGACGCUGAGGUGCGAAAGCGUGGGGAGCAAACAGG
rnacentral:rRNA from 1 species